UAGGGAAUCUUCCGCAAUGGACGAAAGUCUGACGGAGCAACGCCGCGUGAGUGAAGAAGGAUUUCGGUUCGUAAAACUCUGUUGUUAGGGAAGAAAAAAUGUAUAGUAACUAUAUACAAAAGAGACGGUACCUAACCAGAGAGCCACGGCUAACUACGUGCCAGCAGCCGCGGUAAUACGUAGGUGGCAAGCGUUGUCCGGAAUUAUUGGGCGUAAAGCGCGCGCAGGUGGUUUAGAAAGUCUGAUGUGAAAGCCCACGGCUCAACCGUGGAGGGUCAUUGGAAACUAAUAAACUUGAGUGCAGGAGAGAAAAGUGGAAUUCCUAGUGUAGCGGUGAAAUGCGUAGAGAUUAGGAGGAACACCGGUGGCGAAAGCGGCUUUUUGGCCUGCAACUGACACUGAGGCGCGAAAGCGUGGGUAGCAAACAGG
rnacentral:rRNA from 1 species